rnacentral:rRNA from 1 species
GAUGAACGCUGGCGGCGUGCUUAACACAUGCAAGUCGAACGGAAAGGCCCAAGCUUGCUUGGGUACUCGAGUGGCGAACGGGUGAGUAACACGUGGGUGAUCUGCCCUGCACUUCGGGAUAAGCCUGGGGAACUGGGUCUAAUAUCGGAGAGGACCACUUCAUGGACGUUGUUCAGGAAAGUUAUUUCGGUGUGGGAUGAGCUAGCGACCCAUCAGCUAGUUGGUGGGGUAAUGGCUUACUAAGGCGUUGAUGGGUAGCCGAGGCGAAAGGGGGUAGCGGGCCAGUGAGAGUGUAACGCGACACUGAGACUGACAGAAGGCCCAGGUACCGACGGGAGGCAGAAGGGGGGAAGAUUGCACGAGGAGCGCAAGCUUGAUGCAGAGGGGCCGCGGGGGGGAUGACGGCGUUCGGGUUGUAAACUCCUUGCGCUAGGGACGAAGCGUGUUGUGACGGUACCUGGAGAAGAAGCACCGGCUAACUACGUG